UGCAUUUUUCNCUGGCUGACAGGGCAUGU
rnacentral:piRNA from 1 species